AGAUUGAACGCUGGCGGCAGGCCUAACACAUGCAAGUCGAGCGGUAGAGAGGUGCUUGCACCUCUUGAGAGCGGCGGACGGGUGAGUAAUGCCUAGGAAUCUGCCUAGUGGUGGGGGAUAACGUUCGGAAACGGACGCUAAUACCGCAUACGUCCUACGGGAGAAAGCGGGGGACCUUCGGGCCUCGCGCCAUUAGAUGAGCCUAGGUCGGAUUAGCUAGUUGGUGAGGUAAUGGCUCACCAAGGCGACGAUCCGUAACUGGUCUGAGAGGAUGAUCAGUCACACUGGAACUGAGACACGGUCCAGACUCCUACGGGAGCAGCAGGUGGGGAAUUAGUUGGACAAGUGGGGACGAAAGCCUGAUCCAGCCAU
rnacentral:rRNA from 1 species